rnacentral:lncRNA from 13 species
AUGCAUGAAGAGAAGAUGAUCACGUCCUCUAAAUGUCCUCAUUUUCAGGAAAAGGUGCCUCCAGUCCAGCCAAUAGGGUCAAUGGGUGGUCCCUCUGGAUUCCCUGGCACUCCCCCCUCCCUCACCCCCGGUGGACCCCCUCUCUUCCUGCCUGCUGGCUUCAACCCCACACAGCCUCCAGGUUUCCCUCAUCCAGUAGUGGGUGGACCAGGGAGCACCAAAGAUGACUCUGGAUCUAAGGACAAGGCUGGAGGGAGUGGUGGCCCCUCAGACACUCCAGACAUCCAGCUGGGAGCUCCAGGCCCAGGCGGACCAGGGGCCUUGAUGAGUCCUCCAGGCCCAGCAGUGUUACUGGGUCCCAGGCCGGCCAUGCUGCCCAUGCAGCCUCGUCCGGGACUACCACCCCCUCACCUCCAGCCCCACUUCCCCCCUCACCUCCCUCCCCCCAACAUGCCCCCUAUGAUGAUGGGCUCCAGGGGCCCCAACCCCAUGUUCCCCCCUAGGGGGGGCCCUCCAGGUGGGUUCAGGAUGCCCAUGGGCCACCAGUCCAUGGAGGACUUUCCUCACAGACCCCCCAGACAUCCCUUCCAGCCUGGACCCCCCAGACAUCCCUUCCAGCCUGGACCCCCCAGACAUCCCUUCCAGCCCGGACCCCCCGGGGAAGAAGAAGGCAACUGGGAGGGCGGGAGACACUUCAGGGGCGAGAGGCCAGGGUUUGGGGGACGUGACAGGGACGGGGGUAGGUUUGGGGAGCGGGGGAGAGGGUUUCCUAGAGGAGGAGGAGGAGGGGGAAAUGGUCGGCCCAUAGAUGGGCCUGAGGGGAGGUUUGGGGAGCGGGGGAGAGGGUUUCCUAGAGGAGGAGGGGGGGGUCGGUCCAUAGAUGGGCCUGAGGGGAGGGACUGCUUCAUGAACCAACGGGAUAGAUUUGAAUGGUGAUGAGGCGGGGCCAGGAGGGUUCAGCCGUAGAGACUGGGGGGUAGUCAUCCAGGGUCCUGUUCAGCAGGGAGAAAACGUUUUGGAACAGAGUGAAACGGGAAUGAACUACCUGAACUUGUCCAGUAAAAACCCAAGAGUUUUUUUGUUUUUGUUUUGCUGAACAUAACCCAGAUGUCUGACCUGGAGAACGACUUGGAGACUGGGCAUAUGGAGUCAGACUGAGUCAGACUGAGUCAGACUGAGUCACACGGAGUCAGACUGGGCACACGGAGUCAGACUGAGUCAGACUGAGUCACACGUAGUCACACGGAGUCAGACGGCGUCACACCGAGUCACACGGAGUCAGACGGCGUCACACCGAGUCACACGGAGUCAGACGGCGUCACACCGAGUCACACGGAGUCAGACGGAGUCAGACGGCGUCACACCGAGUCACACGGAGUCAGACGGAGACAUUGUAAUGUACAGCCUGUCUCUGACGAGUUUCUCCACCGUUCCAAAGACAUUAAGACUAAACACAGAGAAAAUAAAAUGAAUGGGACUGUUUCCCAAAUCACAGAAUAAGCCCAGUCCAUUGUAUAAAAAGCAUGUUCAAUGGAGGAUCUCUGUUAGAACGACUUCUUUAGUCCAGGACUAGGUUUAAUCUGUGUCUGGGAAACCUACCCUAUCAGAAUAUCACAGUUUAAACCAGUGGAAGUCUAAUUUUUUAAGUCUGUUCAUAUGAAGAACUUCUGUCCUGCCUUUUUGAGCUGGUAUGUUCUGACAGAAAACCACAGAGGGAAGAAUACUGAUUUGUAUAUAUUGUAUUUGUGCUGAUGGCCAAUAUUCUGUUUUUUUUUGUUGUAUAUUUUGAGUGAAUGUUUUUUGUUUCCUCUCCAGGAAGUCUGUCACUAGGGCAGUGAGGAGAAACAGACAGUUGACCUGAAAACACCAUCAUCCUUGUAUUGAUGGGGGGGCGGGGUUCAAAACAUGAAAAUCUUUUGCUUCAGAAUUUAUCAUUAGCAGUUUGGUUUUAGUAAACUAUUUUUGUAUAAAUUUAAGUGUCUUUUUUUUUGUAAGUUCUUCAGGCGAGGCAUGUUAAAUGUUAUUUUUGUUUUAACUCACUCAUACAAGGGACACUAGGCAGGUUCCAUUGUCUACCAGUAGGGGGUGCUGUAUCACUUCUUUACAUGGGAUAGCAGAUAGGGUCUGACUUGGGAGGCGUGCCAAAUUCCACCCUAUUCUGUAUAUAGUGCCCUACUUUGCACCAGGGAAUACGGUGCGGGCUAGGCCCCUUGAGAAGUUGGGCAAGUCCCUGUCCAAAAUUGUGUCUGGGGGAAAAACACAGGGAAAAACACUCCUCAUCAAACACAGGAUACAGCCAACUGUUAAACAGUACAGGGAAAGUCUAACCUUCAGAGGUCUUUCCCAACAAUGCAGUGACACUAAUCUAGAUAAUGAUAGAAAAUAGAAUACAAAUGACUGAAUCGAAACCACAAGAACUACGAUGUACGUAGGAGAAUGUACGUGUAUAUACAGGUCAGUAUCAGGAUGUUAUUCAAUGUCCAGGGGUACUGGAGUGGUUGAGGUCGGUUUAUACAUAACACGUGACUGGUAGGUAUAUAUAUAUAUAUAUAUAUACCUACCAGUCACAUAUAUAUAUAUAUACAAAAUGCUUAUGUUCAUCAGUGCAGUAGAAUGUCUCGCAGAUACAACACAUAAAUACACAAAUAAUAACAAAUCAAAUCAAGAAAUGACAGAGUCCAAUUUAACAAUCCAGAGUAGACAGAUGGCCCAAAGUAUGUGGACACCUGCUCGUCCAACAUCUCAUUCCAAAAUCAUGGGCAUUAAUAUGGAGUUGGUCUUCUCCUUUUUCUAGCUAUAACAGCCUCCACUCUUCUGGGAAGGCUUUCCACUAGAUGUUGGAACAUUGCUGCUAUAACAGCCUCCACUCUUCUGGGAAGGCUUUCCACUAGAUGUUGGAACGUUGCUGCUAUAACAGCCUCCACUCUUCUGGGAAGGCUUUCCACUAGAUGUUGGAACAUGGCUGCUAUAACAGCCUCCACUCUUCUGGGAAGGCUUUCCACUAGAUGUUGGAACAUUGCUGCUAUAACAGCCUCCACUCUUCUGGGAAGGCUUUCCACUAGAUGUUGGAACAUUGCUGCUAUAACAGCCUCCACUCUUCUGGGAAGGCUUUCCACUAGAUGUUGGUACAUUGCCGCAGGGACUUGCUUCCAUUCAGCCACAAGAGCAUUAGAGAGGUCGGGCACUGAUGUUGGGCGAUUAGGCCUAGCUGGCGGUCAGCGUUCCAAUUCAUCCCAAAUGUGUUUAGUGGGGUUGAGGACAGGGCUCUGCAGGCCAGUCAAGUUCUUCCACACUGAUCUUAACAAACCCUUUCUGUAUGGACCUCGCUUUGUGCACGGGGGCAUUUUUAUGCUGAAACAGGAAAGGGCCUUCCGAAAACUAUUACCACAAUGUUGGAAGCACAGAAUCAUCUAGAAUGUCAUUGUGUGUUGUAGCAUUAGGAUUUCCCUUCACUGGAACUAAAGGGCCCGAACCAUGAAAAACAGCCCCAGACCAUUAUUCCUCCUCCACCAAACUUCACAGUUUGCGCUAUGCAUUAUGGGCAGGUAGCGUUCUCCUGGUAUCCGCCAAACCCAGAUUCGUACAUCGAACUGCCAGAUGGUGAAGCGUGAUUCAUCACUACAGAGAACGCGUGUCCACUGCUCCAGAGUCCAAUGGCGGCGAGCUUUACACCACUCCAGCCGACGCCUGGCGUUGCGCAUGGUGAUCUUCGUCUUGUGUGCAGCUGCUCGACCAUGGAAACCCAUUUCAUGAAGUUCCCGACGAACAGUUCUGGUGCUGAUGUUGCUUCCAGAGGCAGUUCUGAACAGAUGAUUUUUACGCGCUACGCAAUUCAGCACUCGGUGGUCCCGUUCUGUGAGGUUGCUCCUAGGCGUUUCCACUUCACAAUAACAGCGUUUACAGUUGACUAGGGCAGAAGUUUUACGAACUGACUUGUUGGAAAGGUGGUAUCCUAUGACGGUGCCACAUUGAAAGUCCCUGAGCUCUUCAGUAAGGCCAGUCUACUUGCAAUGUUUGUCUAUGGAGAAUGCAUGGCUGUGUGCUCAAUUUCAUACACCUGUCAGCAAUGGGUGUGGCUGAAAUAGCUGAAUCCACUAAUUUGAAGGGGUGUCCACAUACUGCUCUAUAUAAAGUGUAAUUUAGAGUGAGCAUGUGUCAGAAUCCACAAUAUAAAUAUGUAGUGUGUAUCGGCAGUAUAGAAUUUGUGUGGAAAAUUAUAUGUACAGUAGUAGGUAUAUUAGCAUGAGCUAUGUGGAGAAUACAGUGUAUACUGUACAUACACAGUGAGUAAACAGCAGUAUAGAAACAGAACAGGAGGUGACCAGCGUUCAAUGACUAUAUACAUGGGGCAUUAGUUUCAACGUGCAAGGCAGAGUACCGUUCGUCAGUCUCUCGUUCCCAGCUUUGAUGCGCCUGUACUGCCUCUGUCCACAAGAUGGUAGCAGAGUGAACAGACUGUGGGGCCCAUGACAAAUGCCUUCAGCUACCUGAGAUUAUAGAGAUGGUUGUUGAGCCGCCUUCUCCAUGGUGGUGGUGAGACCACUUCAGGUCCCAUGGGCGCAACUUUUGUUUUAGAAGUGUGGGGGGAGGGGGAUGACAAUUAUUUAUAUAUAUAUGUGUAUGUGUGUGUAUAUAUAUAUAUAUAUAUAUAUAUAUAUAUAUAUAUAUAUAUAUAUAUAUAUAUAUA